UCCCGGCAGAGCCCCGGCGGUGGGCGGGGGGAUGCGGGGUCCCCCCCGCGGUGGGGGUUGGUCUUGUUGGAAAUGAUCCAACUUGCCUCAAAUUUUAGUCAGUGGCAGCAGCUGACCGGGUUUCUUUUCACGGGCUCUUGUCGGUUUGAUCUUUAAAGCACCCAAACUUGGAGUUUCUCUGCACUGGCUCUGAUGAGCUUCCAUAAACAAAGCCCGAGGGAGCUGAAGAUUGGACAUCUGGGAUCUUAAAUUCCUGGUCCUUCAAGGACCUGUUGGAGGAACCAGAAGGUCCAGAGGGGAUUAACAAAGACAUUGCAGCCUGAGAGUUGGAGACUCUGUGUCUGAGGAGGAGGGCUAAGAGGACCAAAGAACGUGGACCAAAUUAGCCAGUUAAGGAUAGACUACUAAUUAGAGUCUUAAUUAAUGAAGAGAAUUCAUUAGUUCAUUAAUUGGGGUAAAUUAGAAGCAAUGAACAUGAAUUUGUUUGUUUGUUCAAAUGUAGAAAUGUGUGAAAAGUCUGGAAAGGGACAGGUGGGGCUGGAAUGAUUGGCUCCCUGUCUCUGGGAGCCAGAACAAAGCAGUGCCUGGCUCACCAACACUUCCCAGGGGCGUUGGAGGGUUUCAUUUCUUCCCAACGAUUUUCAGGGACAAUUCUUGGUGAGCCAGGUGGGACAAUGCUGUCGACCCUCCAGGGAUUCCGGGACCCUGAGGACUCCAGCGAGCAGUGAAAAUAUUCUUCUGGGAGAUCUCAGUCCCUGGAUCUGUGCCAAGGUGAGCCGGGAAGAACGUGAGGUGGUGAGAGCAGCCUGGGCUCACUGCCAAGGGACCGUGCGGCCGGGGCAGGGAAACAACCUGACAGGGGGAUGGGGACAACCAAGGGACUGCAGCAGCAAGCAAAGAUGGCCUGUGAAGGAAGAAAAGAGCGAGGCCUGGCAUGGGAGGAGCGAGGGAGUGGUUCUGCAAAUCGAAGGCUCUUAAAAGGGCUCGUCCCUCCCAUCCUGGGGGUGCUGGAACCUGGUCACGAGUUGGGUGCACCCAACGCUGUUAAUAAAGUUCUUUGUUUCACUUA